CUGAGGACACGGUGACCGAGGUCCCCUGGCCCCAGUAGUCCAUACCAAGAUGUAGUCCCCUCACUGUGUCUCUCACACAGUAAUACACGGCUGUGUCCUCAGCUCUCAGGCUGUUCAUCUGCAGAUAUAGCGUGUUCUUGCUGUUGUCUCUGGGGAUGGUGAAUCGGCCCUUCACAAAGUCUGUGUAGCUUGUGCUA